ACUGUUAGCAGCAUAGGAUUGAGGAGUUGGAAGAGACCUUUAGAACAGCUGGUCAUUAUGCCGACCGGGUGCCUGCACUAAGUUCGGCAUCAGUGUGUUGACCUCCUGUGAGCAGGGGGCCACCAAGUUGCCUAAGGAUGGCUGAACUGGCCCAGGUCAGAAAGAGAGCAGGUCAGAACUCCCA
rnacentral:sRNA from 1 species